UAGGGAAUCUUCGGCAAUGGGGGGAACCCUGACCGAGCAACGCCGCGUGAGUGAAGAAGGUUUUCGGAUCGUAAAGCUCUGUUGUUAAGGAAGAACGAGUGUGAGAAUGGAAAGUUCAUACUGUGACGGUACUUAACCAGAAAGGGACGGCUAACUACGUGCCAGCAGCCGCGGUAAUACGUAGGUCCCGAGCGUUGUCCGGAUUUAUUGGGCGUAAAGCGAGCGCAGGCGGUUAGAUAAGUCUGAAGUUAAAGGCAGUGGCUCAACCAUUGUAGGCUUUUGUAACUGUUUAACUUGAGUGCAGAAGGGGAGAGUGGAAUUCCAUGUGUAGCGGUGAAAUGCGUAGAUAUAUGGAGGAACACCGGUGGCGAAAGCGGCUCUCUGGUCUGUAACUGACGAUGAGGCUCGAAAGCGUGGGGAGCGAACAGG
rnacentral:rRNA from 1 species